rnacentral:rRNA from 1 species
UACGAAGGGGGCUAGCGUUGUUCGGAAUUACUGGGCGUAAAGCGCGUGUAGGCGGGUCUUUAAGUCAGGGGUGAAAUGCCAGGGCUCAACCUUGGAACUGCCUUUGAUACUGGAGACCUUGAGUCCGGGAGAGGUGAGUGGAAUUGCGAGUGUAGAGGUGAAAUUCGUAGAUAUUCGCAAGAACACCAGUGGCGAAGGCGGCUCACUGGCCCGGAACUGACGCUGAGGUGCGAAAGCGUGGGGAGCAAACAGG